rnacentral:rRNA from 1 species
GGGUGCGACCAUACCAGCAUUAACGCAUUGGAUCCCAUCAGAACUCUGAAGUUAAAGCGUGCUUGGGCGAGGGUAGUACUAGGAUGGGUGACCCCCUAGGAAGUCCUCGUGCUGCAACCC